CAGUCGCCGCGGUAAUACGUAGGUGGCAAGCGUUGUCCGGAAUUAUUGGGCGUAAAGGGCUCGCAGGCGGUUUCUUAAGUCUGAUGUGAAAGCCCCCGGCUCAACCGGGGAGGGUCAUUGGAAACUGGGAAACUUGAGUGCAGAAGAGGAGAGUGGAAUUCCACGUGUAGCGGUGAAAUGCGUAGAGAUGUGGAGGAACACCAGUGGCGAAGGCGACUCUCUGGUCUGUAACUGACGCUGAGGAGCGAAAGCGUGGGGAGCGAACAGGAUUAGAUACCCGAGUAGUCCAUGUCUCUUAUAA
rnacentral:rRNA from 1 species